GGUUCCAUGGUGUAAUGGUGAGCACUCUGGACUCUGAAUCCAGCAACCGGAUUCCUGCCACCC
rnacentral:tRNA from 1 species